GAUGAACGCUGGCGGCGUGCCUAAUACAUGCAAGUCGAGCGAACAGACGAGGAGCUUGCUCCUCUGACGUUAGCGGCGGACGGGUGAGUAACACGUGGAUAACCCACCUAUCAGACUGGGAUAACUUCGGGAAACCGGAGCUAAUACCGGAUAAUAUAUUGAACCGCAUGGUUCAAUAGUGAAAGACGGUUUUGCUGUCACUUAUAGAUGGAUCCGCGCCGCAUUAGCUAGUUGGUAAGGUCACGGCUUACCAAGGCAACGAUGCGUAGCCGACCUGAGAGGGUGAGCGGCCACCCUGGAACUGUGACACUGACCAGACUCCUACGGGAGGCAGCGGUAGGGAAUCUUCCGCAAUGGGCGAAAGCCUGACGGAGCAACGCCGCGUGAGUGAGGAAGGUCUUCGGAUCUUAAAACUCUGUUAUUAGUGAAGAACAAAUGUGUAAGUAACUAUGCACGUCUUGACGGUACCUAGUCAGAAAGCCACGGCUAACUACGUG
rnacentral:rRNA from 1 species